rnacentral:rRNA from 1 species
AUGAAGGGUUGGGGCGCCAAUCUAGGACGAGAUCUCCGCGAGCGCAAGAAGGCUCUGUUGACCGCCAUCCAGGCCCUGGACCUUCGUGCCGACGCGAUAUGCCUCUCUCCUGAGGGUUGGCUCGCCCGUUACGACUUGGAAGACCAGCUCACUAUCAUCUACACCGACGAGGAGGCCUAUUGGCGCUUGUGUGGUGCCCAGAAAUGGGCGCUGAAGGGCGAUGCAAAUACUGCCUAUUUUCAGGCCAUCGCUAAUGGCCGUCGUAGGAGCAACACCCCCCUCCUUUGGGAUGGCCCUACUCUCCUGCAGUCCCCUCGUGACAUUAGAGCCCAUGUCGAUGGAUUCUAUAGGUCUCUGUUCUCGGCCGCUCCUCGGAGCGGUCUAUCUCUGGCCAUGGAUUGUUGG